AUGAGGAAUAUUGCGCAAUGGGGGAAACCCUGACGCAGCGACGCCGCGUGGGUGAGGAAGUCCUUCGGGAUGUAAAGCCCUUUUCUCGGGGACGAAACGGACGGUACCCGAGGAAGAAGCCCCGGCUAACUACGUGCCAGCAGCCGCGGUAAUACGUAGGGGGCGAGCGUUGUCCGGAUUUACUGGGCGUAAAGCGCGCGUAGGCGGAGCGUUAAGCGUGGCUUGAAAGCCCCCGGCUCAACCGGGGAAGGUGGCUGCGAACUGGCGCUCUUGAGGGCGAUAGAGGGGGGCGGAAUUCCUGGUGUAGCGGUGAAAUGCGUAGAGAUCAGGAGGAACACCCGUGGCGAAGGCGGCCCCCUGGGUCGGCCCUGACGCUGAGGCGCGAAAGCGUGGGGAGCGAACGG
rnacentral:rRNA from 1 species